GACGAACGCUGGCGGCGUGCUUAACACAUGCAAGUCGAACGAUGAAGAAAAGAAUUGAAGCUUCGGCAGAAAUUCAUUUCGGAUUAGUGGUAGACGGGUGAGUAACGCGUGAGCAACCUACCUCUUACAAAGGGAUAGCCUCGGGAAACCGGGAUUAAUACCAUAUAACAUUGCGACGAAGCAUUUCGAUGCAAUCAAAGCUACGGCGGUAAGAGAUGGGCUCGCGUCCCAUUAACCAGAUGGUGAGGUAACGGCUCACCAUAGUAACGAUGGGUAACCGGCCUGAGAGGGUGAACGGUCACACUGGAACUGAGACACGGUCCAGACUCCUACGGGAGGCAGCAGUAGGGAAUAUUGCACAAUGGAGGGAACUCUGAUGCAGCGACGCCGCGUGAGUGAUGAAGGAAUUCGUUUCGUAAAACUCUGUUCUAUGGGAAGAAAAGGACUGUACCAUAGGAGAAAGCUCCGGCUAAAUACGUG
rnacentral:rRNA from 1 species